CAAUAGCGUAUAUUAAAGUUGUUGCAGUUAAAAAGCUCGUAGUUGGAUUUGUGGCUGUCACGGGCGGCCUAUCACUUAGUGUUAGUGCUUGCCUGUGUCGCCAUCCUUGGGUGGAGCCCGUGUGGCAUUAGGUUGUCGUGCGGGGGAUGCCCAUCGUUUACUGUGAGAAAAUUAGAGUGUUCAAAGCAGGCUUAUGCCGUUGAAUAUGUUAGCAUGGAAUAAUAAGAUAGGACCUCGGUACUAUUUUGUUGGUUUGCGCACCGAGGUAAUGAUUAAUAGGGACAGUUGGGGGUAUUUGUAUUUCAUUGUCAGAGGUGAAAUUCUUGGAUUUCUGAAAGACGAACUACUGCGAAAGCAUUUACCAAGGAUGUUUUCAUUAA
rnacentral:rRNA from 1 species